rnacentral:rRNA from 1 species
AAUAGAUACCCCGGUAGUCCUAGCUGUAAACGAUGAGCACUGGGUUGAGGGGACUUCCACAUCCUCUCGGCCGUAGCGAAAGCGUUAAGUGCUCCGCCUGGGGAGUAUGGCCGCAAGGCUGAAACUCAAAGGAAUUGACGGGGGCUCACACAAGCGGUGGAGGAUGUGGCUUAAUUCGAGGCUACGCGAAGAACCUUAUCCUAGAUUUGACAUGGUUGAGAAUCUCCUUGAAAGAGGAGAGUGCCCUUCGGGGAGCUCUUUCACAGGUGCUGCAUGGCUGUCGUCAGCUCGUAUCGUGAGAUGUUGGGUUAAGUCCCUUAACGAGCGAAACCCUUAUCUUUAGUUGCCAGCGGGUCAAGCCGGGGACUCUAAAGAGACUGCCGGUGUCAAACCGGAGGAAGGUGGGGAUGACGUCAAGUCCUCAUGGCCUUUAUGUCUAGGGCUGCACACGUCCUACAAUGGCACGUACAAAGGGAAGCCAAGCCGCGAGGCCGCGCUAAUCCCAAAAAGCGUGCCCCAGUUCGGAUUGCAGG